CUAGAAGUAGAGAAAAAGUUUUUUUUUAAUAUUUGAUUUUUUUUCAAUUGCUCUAUGAUCUUCUAGGUAAAAGAAGAAACAAGAAAGAACUGAAGUGUGGGAAUCUUUUCAAAUGUUUCACUGCUUGAAGUGGUUUCUGAUAGGGCCUUCAGAGUAUAGCAGUUCAAAGAAUGCUUACCUGACAAAUGGAAUCCGAAGUUGGCAGAGGCCUGAAGACAAAGGUAAGGAAUUAUGGCUUUGUGUAGUAUGAAGCAUAAAUAUUUUUUCUAGUUUA
rnacentral:lncRNA from 1 species